AGUGGCGGACGGGUGAGUAACACGUGAGCAACCUGCCUUGGACUGGGGAAUAACUGUGGGAAACCAUAGCUAAUACCGCAUAAAGUCACGAGAGGACAUCCUCCUGUGACCAAAGGAGCAAUCCGGUCUUAGAUGGGCUCGCGUCCGAUUAGAUAGUUGGUGAGGUAACGGCUCACCAAGUCUGCGAUCGGUAGCCGGACUGAGAGGUUGAACGGCCACAUUGGGACUGAGACACGGUCCAGACUCC
rnacentral:rRNA from 1 species